GGGUGAUAUUAAAAAAAAUCCGCCUAAACCAGUGAAAUUGUCUCAAUCACCUCAGCCUUUCUGGGAAGAUGCAUUGCUCAGGCUGCAAAUGAUGUAAGAAAGGCUUCAGGUAAGGACAGAGGGUGUCAGAUUUAGGGGUACUGAACCCCUUUCGAGGGGACCACAAGAGUCUGAAGGAAAGCAGUAAGUGAGAGAAACGUCCAGAGGACAUCCCUGUAGGAGAGGGAUAACGAGGAACUCUGGGGAACCCUUGUUUCAUUCUCUGGUUUUCAGAGGCUAUGAUAAGACGUGGCCAAGGUUUGUCCUCACCCCGCCUGUCCCUCGGUAAUGGGCUUGUAAUGACCUAAACGAUUUGCUGAUUAGGGACAAUAAAUCUGCCUUUCCGUGCGGGAUGUCCCUCGCCGCGGGGCGGGGGGAGGCGGCGGGGACAGCCGGGGCCGGGACACUUUCCCGUCCCCUUCAGGAAGAUGACAGUGUUUGUUCAUUUAGCCUGUCGGCAGUUUGGCUGCAGAGCUGAAGUUAUUUAUCCCAGCAUCUGCCCCCCACCUUUCCAGAGGGGCGAUUCCGGGGCUCGGGCGGAGAGGAAGGAGCGACUGCGGGGCUGGGUCCUGGUUCCUGUGAACGGGUGUGGGGGAAGGCGGGCGGCGGCUUUGCUCGGCUCGCUCCUCUGGGGACAGGUGAAGAAGAAAAAGGCCUGCUCAGCCACAGGAGGGAUCCAGGUGCUGGUGCCAUCUCUAAACCCUGAGCCGUGGGGAGCCAGGCUUCACCUCCAGCCCCGGGCUCUGCACACUGAGAUGUCUCCUGGGGACCCAGCAGUGGCAAGUCAGACUCAGUGCACAAACAGGGUCUGGAACAAAUGGUUGGCUGUCCAUGACCUGCUUGGAGGAAAAGGCAGCAGCAGGAUAAGGUCUGGACGGUUGCUAAGAGAAAAACAAUUCUUGGCAAAUUCCUGGAAGUGCUUGCCUCCUCCAGUUUGGAUGAAGACCGCUCAACACAGAUGGGUAGGUGUGAGCUUCUGUCUCUUCGCCUUCUGAGAAUUGUUUUCGCCAGUGGAAAACUGAAGAUGAUAAUGCUCCCAUUAAAAAUGAGGUGAAUGCUCAGGCUAACAUGAGUGGGUGGAAAGGACUUCAAACAGGAUGAAUCUGGGGACAAACCUACCCUUGCCAAGACAAACAGCUGCAGAGAGCUGCAGGAAAGGAAAAGGGCACUGCUGUUCAGAAUGAUUCAGUCACACAGGGCUGAUUGAGGCUGUGUAUCCAUCAAUUUAUAACGAAAAUCAGUGGCUGUCAUAUGAAGAAAGAAAAGGAACAUCAUCUGUCACACAGGAGGACUGGAGAACUGAUAUCAUCAGGACAACAAGCUGAUAUUCCAUAGGACAGUAGAGAUGUGGGAUGAGUGCAAAGCAGAAAGCUCUCACUCUCCUUCCUACAUCUGUCUUUGAUUUUCUCUGCCUCUAUCUGCCUGUUGUUGAUGUUUUCUCACAUUAUCUUGGUCCCUCUGUUCAAGCUGCAUUUCAUUCCAAGGAGGCAGGGAGCUCCAGGUGUGAACGAGGGCUGUGAGCAUGAACUCCCUGUCGCUGCUAUUAUUGUUACCAUUCCUCUGAAACCAGCCUGGUGGAGGUUUGGCUCUGUGGAAUUUGUUCUGCUGUUUUAACCGUAUCCUUGUUAAAUGUGGAAAAUGGAAUGCAAGUGGAAUGACAAUGUGGAAAGUGGAAUGAAGUGCAGUGCUUUGCAUGAUGGCUUGCACCCAAAGGUGCAGCCUUAGCUAAUGAAGUGCUGGCAUGCUGUGGAGCAAGAUGUUUGAGAUUGCAGGAUUGGGAUCUGCUGCUCAGAUGAAUCAGGUGUUCAGGACUCGCUGAUCUUCUUUGUAAUGGGAGAAACUGUAUAUUAAAAAAGUCAAUACAGAAUUUUCAAUGCUCUGUAUAGUUUCAGUGUUUUUCAUUUUAAGACCCCAGUGAUAUUCAGUAAUUGUAUUCCCACCAUCCAGCUAUUUAGCAAUCUGAACACAUACUAUUUCCCCCAUUACUGUUGUUUCCAUUACUGGCAGUACACUUGUGGAUGUCUGGUUAUUUUUGUCUUUGACACCCCCUGCAUACAUC
rnacentral:lncRNA from 12 species